rnacentral:rRNA from 1 species
AUACGGAGGGUGCAAGCGUUACUCGGAAUUACUGGGCGUAAAGGACGCGUAGGCGGUUUUUAAAGUCAGAUGUGAAAGCCUAUGGCUUAACCAUAGAACUGCAUUUGAAACUUCUAAACUAGAGUGAGGGAGAGGUCAGUGGAAUUAGUGGUGUAGGGGUAAAAUCCGUAGAGAUCACUAGGAAUACUCAUAGCGAAGGCGACUGACUGGAACUUUACUGACGCUGAGGCGUGAAAGCGUGGGGAGCAAACAGGAUUAGAAACCCCAGUAGUCC